GCCUGGUCCAAAGGUAAUGAGUUACCUAAACUGUUUGUUCAGGUUACUGACUGAACUCCUUGUUCUACUCUUUUCCCCUUCUCAUUAUAAUGCUUGUCUAGUGCU
rnacentral:Y_RNA from 1 species